CCGUCUCUCUCUCUCUCUUUCUUCCCAGUCCCUUCUCCGGCAGAGAAGAGAGUGGAAGAUGGCGUCCACCGCUCUCAAGGGCUGCCCCGCGGCGGCGUUCCCCGGGCUGCUUUCCUCCUCCAGGUCAAAAUUCGCCGUGGCUCUCCCCCUUCCCGCCGCCAACGCGGCGGCGUCCCGCUUCACCAUGUCCGCCGAGUGGAUGCCCGGCCAGCCCCGCCCCCCCUACCUCGACGGCUCCGCCCCCGGGUGAGAGAGAAGCCCUCUCCCUCUCCCUCUCCCUCUCCCUCUCCCUCUCCCUCUCCUUCUCCUUUUUCUGAUCCUGUUCUUGUUCUUGCUGACGAUCCGCCGGAUUGGUGGCACAGAGACUUCGGGUUCGACCCGCUGCGGCUUGGGGAGGUGCCGGAGAAUCUGGAGAGGUUCAAGGAGUCGGAGCUCAUCCACUGCAGAUGGGCCAUGCUCGCCGUGGUGAGUAGCAGCAGCAGCAGCAGCUCAUUCACUGCAGAUGGGCCGCCGUGCUGUGCCGAUUUCUGACGAUUUGCUGGGCCACCGUUCGUUCUCUCUUUCUGUCAUCGCAGCCGGGGAUUCUGGUGCCGGAGGCGCUGGGCCUGGGUAACUGGGUGAAGGCCCAGGAGUGGGCGGCGGUGCCCGGCGGGCAGGCUACCUACCUGGGCAACCCCGUCCCAUGGGGCACCCUCCCGACCAUCCUCGCCAUCGAGUUCGUCGCCAUCGCCUUCGUCGAGCACCAGCGCAGCAUGGAGAAGGACCCGGAGAAGAAGAAGUACCCCGGCGGCGCCUUCGACCCCCUCGGCUACUCCAAGGACCCCGCCAAGUUCCAAGAGUACAAGGUCAAGGAGAUCAAGAACGG
rnacentral:lncRNA from 1 species